rnacentral:tRNA from 1 species
GGGACUGUGGCUCAGUAGUAGAGCGCUUAUCUAGCAUGUGUGAGGCACUGGUUCGAUCCUCAGUACCA